rnacentral:rRNA from 1 species
CCUACGGGCGGCAGCAGUGAGGAAUAUUGGUCAAUGGCCGAGAGGCUGAACCAGCCAAGUCGCGUGAGGGAUGACGGCCCUACGGGUUGUAAACCUCUUUUGUCGGGGAGCAAAGAGAGUCACGUGUGGCCCAUUGAGAGUACCCGAAGAAAAAGCAUCGGCUAACUCCGUGCCAGCAGCCGCGGUAAUACGGAAGGUCCGGGCGUUAUCCGGAUUUAUUGGGUUUAAAGGGUGCGUAGGCGGGUCUUUAAGCGUGCCGUGAAAUUUUGUGGCUCAACCAUGGGAGUGCGGCGAGAACUGGUGACCUUGAGUGCGCGGAAGGCAGGCGGAAUGCGUGGUGUAGCGGUGAAAUGCUUAGAUAUCACGAAGAACCCCGAUUGCGAAGGCAGCCUGCCGCAGCAUUACUGACGCUGAAGCUCGAAAGCGCGGGUAUCGAACAGGAUUAGAUACCCGCGUAGUC